GACCCUUUAAACUUAUACAACUUUUAGCAACGGAUCUCUUGGCUCUCCCAUCGAUGAAGAACGCAGCGAAAUGCGAUAAGUAAUGUGAAUUGCAGAAUUCAGUGAAUCAUCGAAUCUUUGAACGCACCUUGCGCCCUCUGGUAUUCCGGAGGGCAUGCCUGUUUGAGUGUCAUUAAAUUCUCAA
rnacentral:rRNA from 1 species